rnacentral:rRNA from 1 species
AUACGGAGGGUGCAAGCGUUGUUCGGAAUCACUGGGCGUAAAGGGCGCGCAGGCGGUUUGGUAAGUCAGAUGUGAAAGCCCAUGGCUCAACCAUGGAAGUGCAUUUGAAACUGUCAGACUUGAGUACUAGAGGGGAAAGUGGAAUUCCCGGUGUAGAGGUGAAAUUCGUAGAUAUCGGGAGGAAUACCGGUGGCGAAGGCGACUUUCUGGCUAGAUACUGACGCUGAGGCGCGAAAGCGUGGGGAGCAAACAGAAUUAGAAACCCUAGUAGUCC